rnacentral:sRNA from 1 species
ACCCGCUGAACUUAAGCAUAUCAAUAAGCGGAGGAAAAGAAACCAACAGGGAUUGCCUCAGUAACGGCGAGUGAAGCGGCAACAGCUCAAAUUUGAAAUCUGGUCCCCUCUGGGGGCCCGAGUUGUAAUUUGAAGAGGAUGCUUUUGGCGAGGCGCCGUCCGAGUUCCCUGGAACGGGACGCCGCAGAGGGUGAGAGCCCCGUACGGUCGGACGCCGAGCCUCUGUAAAGCUCCUUCGACGAGUCGAGUAGUUUGGGAAUGCUGCUCAAAAUGGGAGGUAAACCCCUUCUAAAGCUAAAUACCGGCCAGAGACCGAUAGCGCACAAGUAGAGUGAUCGAAAGAUGAAAAGCACUUUGAAAAGAGAGUUAAAAAGCACGUGAAAUUGUUAAAAGGGAAGCGCUUGCGACCAGACUUGCGCCCGUCGGAUCAACCGUCGCUUGCGGCGGCGCACUCCGGCGGGCUCAGGCCAGCAUCAGUUCGCUCGGGGGGAGAAAGGCGGCGGGAAUGUAGCUCCUCGGAGUGUUAUAGCCCGCCGUGUAAUACCCUCGGGUGGACUGAGGACCGCGCGUAUGCAAGGAUGCUGGCGUAAUGGUCGUCAGCGACCCGUCUUGAAACACGGACCAAGGAGUCGUCCUAAUAUGCGAGUGUACGGGUGUCAAACCCCUGCGCGUAAUGAAAGUGAACGGAGGUGAGAGCUUCGGCGCAUCAUCGACCGAUCCUGAUGUUAUCGGAUGGAUUUGAGUAAGAGCAUAUUGGGCCGGACCCGAAAGAAGGUGAACUAUGCCUGUGUAGGGUAAAGCCAGAGGAAACUCUGGUGGAGGCUCGCAGCGGUUCUGACGUGCAAAUCGAUCGUCAAACAUGGGCAUGGGGGCGAAAGACUAAUCGAACCUUCUAGUAGCUGGUUUCCGCCGAAGUU